GAAUACUUAUAACGGUUGGCUGCAAACCAAGAGUAUCUACGACAACUCGACCCACAGCCUCAAAAGAUCGGCCUACAUAAGAUAAUAAUGAUAACUCAAGAACUCGUAGUCCUUUUCUUCAUUAAAAGAAUAAUGCGACAAAAACAUAAGGGAAAAACAAAAGCAAAAAUCAAAUCCCUGCAACUACUCUUCGGCGUCAACCUCGC
rnacentral:lncRNA from 1 species